rnacentral:rRNA from 47 species
CUGGAGGUAUCAGAAGUGCGAAUGCUGACAUAAGUAACGAUAAAGCGGGUGAAAAGCCCGCUCGCCGGAAGACCAAGGGUUCCUGUCCAACGUUAAUCGGGGCAGGGUGAGUCGACCCCUAAGGCGAGGCCGAAAGGCGUAGUCGAUGGGAAACGGGUUAAUAUUCCCGUACUUGGUGUUACUGCGAAGGGGGGACGGAGAAGGCUAUGUUGGCCGGGCGACGGUUGUCCCGGUUUAAGCGUGUAGGUGUGUGUUCCAGGUAAAUCCGGUU